UACGAAGGGGGCUAGCGUUGUUCGGAAUUACUGGGCGUAAAGCGCACGUAGGCGGAUUUGUUAGUCAGGGGUGAAAUCCCGGGGCUCAACCUCGGAACUGCCUUUGAUACUGCAAGUCUAGAGUCCGGAAGAGGUGAGUGGAAUUCCUAGUGUAGAGGUGGAAUUCGUAGAUAUUAGGAAGAACACCAGUGGCGAAGGCGGCUCACUGGUCCGGUACUGACGAUGAGGUGCGAAAGCGUGGGGAGCAAACAGG
rnacentral:rRNA from 1 species